GACGAACGCUGGCGGCGUGCCUAAUACAUGCAAGUAGAACGCACAGUUUAUACCGUAGCUUGCUACACCAUAGACUGUGAGUUGCGAACGGGUGAGUAACGCGUAGGUAACCUGCCUGGUAGCGGGGGAUAACUAUUGGAAACGAUAGCUAAUACCGCAUAAUAUUAAUUAUUGCAUGAUAAUUAAUUGAAAGGUGCAAUUGCACCACUACCAGAUGGACCUGCGUUGUAUUAGCUAGUAGGUGAGGUAACGGCUCACCUAGGCGACGAUACAUAGCCGACCGGAGAGGGUGAUCGGCCACACUGGGACUGAGACACGGCCCAGACUCCUACGGGAGGCAGCAGUAGGGAAUCUUCGGCAAUGGACGAAAGUCUGACCGAGCAACGCCGCGGGAGUGAAGAAGGUUUUCGGAUCGUAAAGCUCGGUUGUAAGAGAAGAACGGGUGUGAGAGUGGAAAGUUCACACUGUGACGGUAUCUUACCAGAAAGGGACGGCUAACUACGUG
rnacentral:rRNA from 1 species